rnacentral:sRNA from 1 species
ACAUGAGAAAGGAGGUGAUCGGAGAAGUGAAGACUCUUCGGACCCAUGAGGUGGUCGCGCGCUAGUCGCGUGCGCCCUUGAGCGUUUCGCGCUGUCGGCCUGACGACCUGAUCACUCGUCGGACCGGUCGGCGCACGGGACGGGUAGCGAGUUCCUCGCGACCACCGGAUCCCGCGGGUGCCGUGCCCUCGUCCAGCACGGCAGGAGGUUCGACCUCCAGCCCGCGGGCUCUUUGCUG